UACGUAGGGUGCAAGCGUUGUCCGGAAUUAUUGGGCGUAAAGAGCUCGUAGGCGGUUUGUUGCGUCGGCUGUGAAAUCCCGAGGCUCAACCUCGGGUCUGCAGUCGAUACGAGCAAACUAGAGUGUUGCAGGGGAGACUGGAAUUCCUGGUGUAGCGGUGAAAUGCGCAGAUAUCGGGAGGAACACCAGUGGCGAAGGCGGCUCACUGGACCGGUACUGACGCUGAUGCGCGAAAGCGUGGGGAGCAAACGGG
rnacentral:rRNA from 1 species